AUUGAACGCUGGCGGCAGGCCUAACACAUGCAAGUCGAACGGUAACAGGAAGAAGCUUGCUUCUUUGCUGACGAGUGGCGGACGGGUGAGUAAUGUCUGGGAAACUGCCUGAUGGAGGGGGAUAACUACUGGAAACGGUAGCUAAUACCGCAUAACGUCGCAAGACCAAAGAGGGGGACCUUUCGGGCCUCUUGCCAUCGGAUGUGCCCAGAUGGGAUUAGCUAGUAGGUGGGGUAACGGCUCACCUAGGCGACGAUCCCUAGCUGGUCUGAGAGGAUGACCAGCCACACUGGAACUGAGACACGGUCCAGACUCCUACGGGAGGCAGCAGUGGGGAAUAUUGCACAAUGGGCGCAAGCCUGAUGCAGCCAUGCCGCGUGUAUGAAGAAGGCCUUCGGUUG
rnacentral:rRNA from 1 species